rnacentral:lncRNA from 1 species
CCCCAAGCUUACCUCUUGCUCGUCCCUGAGCAAGGAUAGACUCAGCAAUGGAUCAGAAGUUGUUGCAAUAUCUUAAAAAUUUGACGGUACACAUGCUUUUUAAAUAAGUUCUCAUCUCUGAGUUAGAGUAAACUGUCAAGAACUAAAACUUACUUACUUUACCUUUCACCAUGGGACUUGUAACCGUCACUUCUGUCUUGAGUAGUUAAAAGAUAGAACAGUCUAGCCAAGUGCCAUGUCUCUUAUUCUUGAUCAGCUAUAGCUCUGGAGUUUUUGUAGAUUUUCAAAUAAAACUCAGAGAUUCCUUGUAUGACUCUCUAAAUCUCUCUUUUGUGGUAUUUCUGGAUCCUUACCAAGGCAGUGAUGGUAUAUGCCUUCUCUCAAGAUAUGUGGUGUUUGUGGUAUAAGGCAUAGUGACAUUGCCUUCUCUCUCACCCUACUCUAAUAAAGCUUUAAUAUCUGGAGUUUAUAGGUGGGAGAUAAAGUAUACAUACUUACAAGACAUUUAUUGUGUAGUCAAACCAUGGAUCCAGAGAAACAAAUCAAUAAGCCAAAUCAAGAUGUGCAUGUGUGGCGAAUGAAUGGUGUAUAGUGAUGAUGGUGAUAACAAUGGUGAAAGUCUAAUUCUACUUUUGCUCUUAUGAGGGGAUACAUACCUUCCUUGCUUUUUGAAACUUUAUGAGGAGAAUGAGAUGCUCUUCUUUUUCUUUCCUCUCAGGUGGGCAUCUUGUACCCCUAAUUCUACUGUCGGACACUUGUCCAUUUUUACCUCUCGUCUCACUUUUUCUUUCUUUCGAGAUUCCGGGCACUUGCCCCUUUUUAUUUCCUCGUUUAUUAUUAUUAUUUAUUUUUUUUCUUGUCUUUUCUUUUUUUCAGAGCAGUCAUCUCCUGAAAUAAUGUAGCAAGUGGUAGUAACCAAAAUAACUGGAGCAUUUAUUUCACAGGGAAUAACAGGGAUAGGAAAAUGUUUUUGGCUAUUCUCUCCCGGAUUAGGAGUAGAAUAUUUUUAGGUGAUUCUGAAGAUGGAAAUGGAUGGAUAUAUGUGGAUGGUACUUCCGGAGUAGAAGUAGCAUAUAUGAGUGAACGUGCAAGUGAAUCUUGAUUUAACCACAUGACAGGCUCCAAAGGGUCUACACAGCUUGACCACACUCAAUGCUCAUAAGCAGUAAAUAGUAAAUGUGUGGCUCAAAGUCUAGCAAGCAUGUAUAUAUGGCUGUGGUAGGAAUUUAAACUCUCAUCAUACAGGAACUCAUCAUGCAAUAUUUUUAAAGAUUUUUCAAAGAUAAAAUUCUCCAGAAUUCUAGCAUCUCUAGGAACAGAUAAACAGCAGCUCAACCUUCCCAUAUCAUAUCCGUUAACAACUUAGAUUUCAGAUCAAGUCUUCAUCCCACAAGUUUAGAUCUAGAGCAAGCUUUAAAUUAUAACAGUUAUGUCUAAACUUGAGAGAGAACUUCAAAUUUGCAAAUUAGGCAGAGCAACUAUUCAUCAUAUCCAUGCUAGAGUUUUAUUAUUAAGAUUCAUAGCAAACUUUAUUUAUUUAUUUAUUUAUUUAGCAAACUAAGAAAAGAUAUAUAUAUAUAUAUAAGCAUAAAAUCUUUAUUUGGUUUUUCAUAGUUUAUGUAUUUUAAUAUUCUAAUAUAAUAUAAGUAUAAAGAUAGGUAGAAAUACUUAGCGAGAUAAAUGGGGGUGCUCUCCCCCAAGCUGAAUUUUGACGUAAUUUGUCUUGAUGUAGCUAGCAGGUAGCAGAGGUGUAUUUGAAAGUCAGCAGUAUUCCGACAGCGAUUAGAAUGUCCUCCGUCUGCUAGUCUUCUUGAUUCUUAAAUUCUGUGGAGCUCAAAUAGACAACAAAGCUUGUGGAACUAAUUAAGUGUUAGCAUAAAUAUCUAGCCUUCAUCACGUUGAGCUUCCUCAAUAAAUAUUACUCCCUGUUUUUAUAUUUUUAUUUUGUAAAGUAGAAAAGAAAUAUUUAUUUUAUUUUUAUGCCACCACAGUGAAGGUACUUAUGGGUUUUAUGCCACUCGUAUACUCACACGGGGCUUAGUAUUUUUUAAUAUUUUUAUUUUCUUUUCAAGAUAGCAUGAUUAACUAAUAAUCUAUUUAAGGAAAGUAAAUAAUUAAAUGGAAAAGGGAAUGCAGAAUGGAUAAAUAUGGAUAACUACCAAUCUUACCUUUCGGCGAGGGUUCAAUGUUUUAAGUCUUCUUGUCAAGACUUCUCAUCGUGUUCAUUCUUCAGGUGCGUCAUUUGAUUCAGGUGCGGACCUUGACGUCUGCACCUUUUAAUACGGUGUCACCCAUGUUCUUCGUUUGCCCAGCAGUUCGAAGUGCGGUGUUAGCAGUAUCUUGCUCAGUGUGUUUGUGCUCGUAGUGUACCUGCUCAUAGAGACAAGGCAGAGAUCAAGUGCAUGGGCCCUGUUGGUGGAAAACACCAACAGAACCAAAAGUGUAUUUCUUCUCUAACUUUAAGCAUAGUGAGCAUGACAAAGUUGAUGGAUGAUAAGUUCAUGAGUGUAGCACUUAUAACAUUUGUCAGAUCAGAUCGCUCAGCCUUAUGAAAAGAUAAUCUAUCUAUGUAUAUGUCUUUUUCUUUAUAUCUCUCAAUGAUUGAAUGUGUAACAUUUUAGCUCAUAUGAUUAGGAGUGUGGGAUCAUGGAGGUAGUACUAAGAACAAGGAUUAAAGGACUAAACAUGUUGAAUCAGUUGGGUUGGUUAAUCUAGAGUUGUAAAUCAUACACGUUUGUCUCUUUUAUUUAUAUGAA